rnacentral:rRNA from 1 species
UACCAAGGUAUACUACCAAAGUGUUUCCGUCUCCUUCAAAGGUACCACAUAUACGGUUAAACCGAUGUCUAAGUGUUCUAGGGCCUUCCAAAGACGUCCUUCUUGUAACACCUUUUAAACGACUUUUUGAGACCGCUCUAGGACCUCUACUCUGACUUGCCCUUAUGGGCACCACUGAUGUAAUCCCAAUCCCAAGCCGUACUGCACGCGGCUGGAGAGUGGUUCAAACAGUCAUAACAGUCCCCCUUUCUUGCGGUUCAGAUGAACCACGCAAUGCUCUUUGAGCGUGUGAAGACGUCACACACACCCGAGUAACCAGUACUAACGUUUCUCACGCCUAGUCCCCACGUACUCCUCUUCCUGUUCUUCAUACCCAGAACCGAGAUACGACUACCUGAUUUAUUUGGCGGCAGGUUGCUAUCAAUACCGGCCCCUUCCUCAGUCUUCGUUGUAUGCGGAGUUAGAGUGGUCGUCUCCAGCGGCCCUUUCUGUCACCAGCUGGGCCUGUACGAUCUAUCCCGAUGUUCGGGACGGUUCCUUCCUGUGUAUAGGUUCGUUCCACUAGGUCGUCGAGCGUUUUCUGAGAGGUACCUCCUACAACCUGGCCUACGGUUACGCAACCAUCCCGGCUCUCCACACGAUCGUGAAUGGGUCCCCUUACCACUCCUACCACGUGUACGGAGCGGAUGGUCGUCACGAUCGUCAUUCUCCCGAGCACAACUUAGUUCGCCAUACAAUCCACUAU